AACGCGAAGAACCUUACCUACCCUUGACAUCCAGAGAAUCUGUUAGAGAUAGUAGAGUGCCUUCGGGAACUCUGAGACAGGUGCUGCAUGGCGGUCGUCAGCUCGUGUCGUGAGAUGUUGGGUUAAGUCCCGUAACGAGGGCAACCCUUCUCCUUAUUUGCCACCAGGUCAUGUUGGGAACUCUAGGGAGACUGCCGGUGAUAAACCGGAGGAAGGUGGGGACGACGUCAAGUCAUCAUGGCCCUUAUGGGUAGGGCUACACACGUGCUACAAUGGCCGGUACAGAGGGCUGCGAACUUGCGAAAGUAAGCCAAUCCCACAAACCCGGUCCUAGUCCGGAUUGGAGUCUGCAACUCGACUCCAUGAAGUGGGAAUCCCUAGUAAUCGCGAAUCAGAAUGUCCGGUGAAAACCUUCCCGGGUCUUGUACACACCG
rnacentral:rRNA from 1 species